rnacentral:rRNA from 1 species
GAUGAACGCUGGCGGCGUGCCUAAUACAUGCAAGUCGAGCGAAUGGAUUAAGAGCUUGCUCUUAUGAAGUUAGCGGCGGACGGGUGAGUAACACGUGGGUAACCUGCCCAUAAGACUGGGAUAACUCCGGGAAACCGGGGCUAAUACCGGAUAACAUUUUGAACCGCAUGGUUCGAAAUUGAAAGGCGGCUUCGGCUGUCACUUAUGGAUGGACCCGCGUCGCAUUAGCUAGUUGGUGAGGGAACGGCUCACCAAGGCAACGAUGCGUAGCCGACCUGAGAGGGUGAUCGGCCACGCUGGGACUGAGACACGGCCCAGACUCCUACGGGAGGCAGCAGUAGGGAAUCUUCCGCAAUGGACGAAAGUCUGACGGAGCAACGCCGCGUGAGUGAUGAAGGCUUGCGGGUCGUAAAACUCUGUUGUUAGGGAAGAACAAGUGCUAGUUGAAUAAGCUGGCACCUUGACGGUACCUAACCAGAAAGCCACGGCUAACUACGUGCCAGCAGCCGCAGUAA